GACGAACGCUGGCGGCGUGCUUAACACAUGCAAGUCGAACGGAAAGGCCCUGCUUUUGUGGGGUGCUCGAGUGGCGAACGGGUGAGUAACACGUGAGUAACCUGCCCUUGACUUUGGGAUAACUUCAGGAAACUGGGGCUAAUACCGGAUAGGAGCUCCUGCUGCAUGGUGGGGGUUGGAAAGUUUCGGCGGGUGGGGAUGGACUCGCGGCUUAUCAGCUUGUUGGUGGGGUAGUGGCUUACCAAGGCUUUGACGGGUAGCCGGCCUGAGAGGGUGACCGGCCACAUGGGGACUGAGAUACGGCCCAGACUCCUACGGGAGGCAGCAGUGGGGAAUAUUGCACAAUGGGCGGAAGCCUGAUGCAGCAACGCCGCGUGCGGGAUGACGGCCUUCGGGUUGUAAACCGCUUUCGCCUGUGACGAAGCGGGAGUGACGGUAAUGGGUAAAGAAGCACCGGCUAACUACGUG
rnacentral:rRNA from 1 species